AUCUGCAGGAAAUAUGAAUAGAAACUGGUAAGUGCUUUGUAAAUUAUACCUUAAAGUUAUAUUGCUACUUACUUUAAGUUUUUUUAUUUCAAGUAACAAACAUGGAAUGAGGUUAACUUAAGUAAAAAAAAAAAAUUGCUUGAAAUAAUAAACUGUGGUUUUCCAAAUCAAGGGAAUAUUAUACAAAGAAAAGAACCUAGAAAAGGUAGUGGGGAGUUUGUAGGUAUACUGAACAUCAUUUUCUUAAUCCUUAUGCAAGAAAGAAUAAGCUAGAAUUUUUGUUCUGUCUGCUUGAAAGUGGGAUUCCCAGGAAAUAAGCCUAAUUAAUGAGCUUUAAUUAUACAUCACAUAUUCAAUAGGCGAGUGGAAGAAAAUUUGAUUGACAAAACCCAUUGAUUGUGGGAGGGGUGGAUAUUUGAAAAAAACAGAAAACCAAUGCUGAAUUGCAAAAGUUUUGUUAAUGUAUAAUUCAUUUUGAAAUCUCAACUUCAUUUACAUUUUUAGUAACACUACCAAAAAAUUAAUCAACUCAUUAUCUUCAUUUUAUUUUGAGGGAAGAUGAAAAACAACUGCCAUCCUCAUAAUCUUCAAUUUACAAAAAAUCAUCUUGUUCUUCCAAAUUUUCGGUAUGACAUGACUUGCUCCUCCUUGCCUUCCACCAUGAUUGUGAGGCUUCAACAGCAACCUGGAACUGCUCAUAGGUGGAAGGGACUUGCCUUGUCUCGGAUUAUACAUUAGACUGUGGACUUUUGAGUUAACGCUGAAAAGAGUUAAGACUUUGAGGGACUGUUGUGAAGGCAUGAUUGGUUUUGCAAUUAGCCCAAUACUGGUCAACAACCCAAAUGUCUAUGAAUAGGGGAAUGGUGAAAAAAAUGGACAUAUCCAUACACUGGAAGAGUAUUCAUCAAUAAGAGAAAAACUCUUCAUACAUGCAACAACAUUGAUAAAUCUCAAGAAUUAUACUGAAUAAAAGGAGUCAAGCUAUUACCUGCCUCCAAAAAGACAGUAUUAAAUGGUUUCAUGUACGUAACAUUAUAGAGAUCACAAAGUAUUCCAUACUGACAAAAAUCAGGGCAAUGCUUCCUUGAGGAUGAAAACUAGGCAGCAUUAGGAGAGUGAGACUGAAAGGAACAUGAGAAAACGUUUGAAGGUAAUGGAUUUGUUCACUGUGUUAAUACAAUGCAUUUUUACGUGUAAGACUUACCGACUUCUAUAAUUUAAAUACGCACAGUUAAUUGUAAAAAAAGUAUGAGUAAAUAGAAAAGAAGCCACAAGUCACUUGACACUGAAUAAAUUUUUCAAAAAAGUUAUUGUAGAAAAGGGAAAGCCUUAUCUAUGCUGUAAAAGUUAAAGGACAUGCCACUAGACUAGAUGCAUAAUGUGGGAAGGAGGGGAGAGCAUUCUAGGCAAAGGAAGCAAAGGAGGAAUAAAGCAUUAAUGCCAAGGAGUGUUGAGAAGGAAGUGAUAACACUGGGAUGAAAAACUACAACAAGGUGAAGAACAGCUGUGAACAUAACAUUGGUAGAUAGAUUUAUCCUCUAAGGGAUGGCAGUACAGUAAAAGAUUUCCAGAAAGGUUCACAUAAUAAAAUGAGUGUCAGUGUUAGUGAAACAAAAGUCCUGGCAGAGAGUAAGACUGGAGGGAGAAAAUAUUAAGACAAACAAGAAUAUGCAACUUUAAAUAAGAUAAAUAUAAAUAUUUUAUUGUUAUAACACCUUAUAACCUAUUGACCUUAUGAACUUUAAAAUCAUGUAAAAUAUAAAUCAAGAAUGUUCUGUAUGGUGAGAUUAUAGAAUCAAAUAGCAAUUCAAAGACCCCAAAUUCCAAAAUAUAUUCCAAGUAGCAUAAUUUUUUUUGUUACUAAGUGUAAAAUCUAUUUCAAUCAUAUCUAAGCAGCUUGCUCAUUAGAAAUAGCGUAUAGUGUUCUCAGCUAGUAAAUGAGUCUGUCACGUUUCAUUAUUAUUAUUAUUAAAGUAUUAUUAGUAUCUAUUUUUUCCCUCAAAGUCAUAACAGCCUAUUCACUAGAUAAAAUCUGCUAACUUUUCCAACGUUACACUUAAAACAAGUCUUUCUUCUGAAUUGUUUGAUGGUGACUUUUGAAAAGAACUAUCAUGAGAUAGACAAAAAUAAACUACAAAAUACACAUUUAUAAAAUAUAAUUAAAACACAAUGUCACAUGAAUCUGGAAUUAGAGAAAAUAAUGAGCAUAUAAAUAGAAUCUGAGAAGUAUUACCCUUGAAAAUAAUGGUUGUAUCAUUUGUAAUAUAUGUAAUAUUCAUAACAUUCAUCUUGUGGGUUUUUUUUUUUGCUUUUAAACAAACUGAGACAGUUUUGGAUUUCGUUGUUUCAUUUUACUUAUAAGUGACACAUAUUUGUACAUAUUUAUGAGUUAAAGUAUCAUGUUUCAAUAAUGUAUGCAUUGUAUAAUGAUUAAAUCAGUGUGAUUAGCUUAUCUUUAACAUUAAACAUUUACCAUUUCUUUGUGAUGAUAGCAUUCAAGAUCAUCUCUUCUAGUUAUCCUGAAACAUACAAAGCAUUAUUGUCAGCUAUUGUCACCUACUGUGUGAUAAAACACUAGAAGUUAUUCUUCCUGUCUAACUGUAACUUUGUACCUAAUAUUCAGAUAGGCGAGUAAUUUUGUCAUAUAUGUAACCUGGUCUAAAUGAACAGUAAACAGUGAUUGGCCUUGGUUUAUUAUGUUGACUAAUAGAGAGAUCAAUGGUCACAAUAAUCUUUAUUCAAAUGUGUUUCCAUUUGUAAGAAAAUUUUAUUUAUAAUUUAAAAGUGCUCAGCUGUGCUUUUCUAUAUCGUUUUGAUACCAUUGUCCACAGUUGUAUGCUUUUGAUGCAAAUAUUUUAGAUUAUUCAAAAGUCUUAGUAAGGAAGGUUAAAAUUACUACAUAUUAAUACAUUAUCUGGCAUGUUUAUUAUAACCAAAUAAAAAAAUUUAUUCCUCUUUUAAUAGAAUUUUAAACACAUGUGAGUUGUUCUUGUAUUCUUUUAUGAAAAAUGCUCAUUUCAAGAGAACAUAUUUUAAGUCAUAUUUUUAUCAAAUAUAUUAUUUAAUUAAAAUUUUAAUGUCAUUUCAAACUUUAUUCAAACCUAAUUCUCAACCUCUAGCCUGCUAGUCAUGAUAGUCUGAAAUAAUAAUGACAUAAAAUACUCUGAUGGGACAAAUAAAUUACUCUCACCUUUCUUGGGGAAUGGAGAAAGACAAAACACAGAAAAAUCAGUAAAAGAUAUAAAAGCAGUUUUCUGGAGUUUAUUGGUUAUAGUUACUUGUCACAAGUAUCUGUGUUCAUCUGAGUCUGUAAUUACGUAGCUGACUCUCUGAAAAGGGAACAACACAGUGAUGAAAAGAGAAAACUUGAAAUUACACAAUUAAUUACAUACUAUUUCUCCUAAGGCUAUAUAUUACACCUAAGAGAGCCUGAGCUUAAAGGUUAUACUACUAAUUCUCUUUUCAAAUGGUACUUUUAUUAGCCAUUAAAUAUCACCAUUAAAUAUCACCAUUAAUGGCUAUUUUAUUAGCCAUUAAAUAAUCAGUGUGUGAUUAUUUUUAGCCUUGUCUUAGAAAUUGAGAACCUAAGACACUAAAAUGGGUUAAUGGCUCUAAAUCAGACAAUAUAUAAAAAUCCCAACUAAUUGGUUUUUAUAAAUUGUUUGGAUCAAGAUAGAUGCAAAAAAAAUGAGUACAAAGCUUCAGGGAAAAACACAUUAAAUAAAUGUGUGCUGUAC